AUACUCCUAAAUCAAGCGUUUUAUAUUAUAUAAACACAAUAAAUUAAGGAUUGAAACUCUAAUUUACAAACCCAUUUCAAACUUAAAUGUAUAUAUCAAUAAUCAUUAAUUUUUAGAAAGCCUCAAUUUUGAGAAAUUUUUCCAUAAACCCUAAAAAUUCAAUUAACCUCAUUUUUACUUACCUUUGGAAGAUAAGGAGAAUUAAUGGAUGAAAAUUUAAAAGCAAACACCUAUUCCAUC
rnacentral:lncRNA from 1 species